rnacentral:rRNA from 1 species
GACUCCUACGGGAGGCAGCAGUGGGGAAUAUUGCGCAAUGGGCGGAAGCCUGACGCAGCGACGCCGCGUGAGGGAUGACGGUCUUCGGAUUGUAAACCUCUUUCAGCAGGGACGAAGCGCAAGUGACGGUACCUGCAGAAGAAGCACCGGCCAACUACGUGCCAGCAGCCGCGGUAAUACGUAGGGUGCAAGCGUUGUCCGGAAUUAUUGGGCGUAAAGAGCUCGUAGGCGGCUUGUCACGUCGACUGUGAAAACCCGGGGCUCAACUCCGGGCCUGCAGUCGAUACGGGCUGGCUUGAGUGCGGUAGGGGAGACUGGAAUUCCUGGUGUAGCGGUGAAAUGCGCAGAUAUCAGGAGGAACACCGGUGGCGAAGGCGGGUCUCUGGGCCGUAACUGACGCUGAGGAGCGAAAGCGUGGGGAGCGAACAGGAUUAGAUACCCUGGUAGUCCACGCCGUAAACGUUGGGCGCUAGGUGUGGGGACCUAUCCACGGUCUCCGUGCCGCAGCUAACGCAUUAAGCGCCCCGCCUGGGGAGUACGGCCGCAAGGC